CGUCACUGCGGGCGUGCGGAGCGAAGUUUCGCGGGCCUGCGCGGGAAGGGACCGUUAAAAUCUGGGGCCGCGCCCACCGGAAGCGACUGAAUGGCGAGGUCGCCUUGGUAACAGGCCUUUGGCUGGAAGGACCUUGAAGGCCACGUGAUUCGACUUACAGUGUGCGGUGGGAACUCUGACGCCCAGAGAGGGGUCUCACCAUGUAGUGCAAGCUGGCCUUGAACUCACUGUGUAGCCCAGGCUGGCCUUGGGCUUGGCAGCGAUCCUGCACCCUCAGCCUCCCACGUGCUGGGAUUAGGCACCACCACGCCCAGCAAAAGCCACUUAAUGCCUAUAAAGAAGAUUGUGCCUACAGUUAUUUGACUUCCCCAGAAGCAGGUACAUGGGCUCCAGGUAAAGAAUUUACUGAACUGUGAACGCGUUUACCCCAUUGUUCAUGGACUAAAUGGGAGCAGCUGGUUUGGAGCCCCUUCCUGGAUAGCUGAGCUUGUGAAAUAAUCACCUAGCGCUAGCCACUCUGGGAAAGCCUGGCAGGAAACCCGACUUUGCUAAAGGCGGGGAACUCCAGAAUUACGAAAGGCUUGGCCGGCUACCUGCUACCUUUGAUUCUUAAACGAGGAAGGCAUGCUCUUUCCCCACUAGAGAUAACUCCUUGCAGUGUGCCGCUACAUGGGUAGAGACCAUUCCUCACACUGUCUGUGAUUAGUCAGUUUCCCGAGUCUUAACAGUUCCCUACUCCAAGCUUUCUGCUCUGCUAACUGCAGGGGAGCUGCCCCGUGUAUGUAACUGUCAGAAACCAGUGAAGAUUAGGAGAGGGCCUGAGUGCAGACCCUUGAUGUGUCCUUGUGUGCAUCACCGACACUUAGUGCUGAUCCGGGUGCAUCCUGGGCCACCUCCUCCGCCUUGUCAUUGCUCAGGAUCAUACUGAUGAUGGCAAAUGGAUUUUGUUUUCUCAGGUAUUGGGAUUCAUAUUCAGGGCCUGGCACGUGCUAGGCAAGCACUAGCCCUGAGCUGUAACCCUUUUUAAAUUUUGAGACAGGCUCUCUAAGUUGCCCAGGCUGGACUUGAACUUGCAAUCCUCUUGCCUCAGCCACCCAGAGUGCUGGAAUUACAGACACGUGUGCCACCACACCCAGCUGCAAACAGGUUUUUUUUUUUUGGACCUUGCGCUUGUGAGGCAGUUGUUGGAACCACUGAGCAAAAUACCCAGUGCAAACAGGUUUUUAAAGUAGCUGAAAUGAAAGGCCAGGAAGAUUAAAGUUGGGCAGCAAAGUUCCACUCAAACAUCAAAUCCAAAAAAAACCAUCAGACCCUUAUGAUUUCUCUGUUGACCUCAGGUUACUGACGGCAGGUUACGUCCUAUCAAGAACAUUCCUGGGGCCAGGGAUUUAGCUCAGUGUGGUUCUACCCCCUGCCUCAAAAGCGCAAGGUCCCGAGUUUGAUCCCUGGUACCAAAAAAGAAAAGAACAUUCCUACCUGACCACUGUGUUCUCAGAGUGUGCGGCACCGGAGCUUGGGUGUUGACUGCGGACACCAGGAAGGGACUGCCUGAGCUCACUCCGUGGCUCUCCCGUCCUGUCCUGGGUGUGCAUGACCUACCUUCCUAAAAUGUGCAGGGGGCUGAUAGCUGUACUUUCCUCAGAGCUUUUGGAGUCCUGAGUUGUUCACGUAUAUUGAGUGCUAGGAAUAUUGAAUGCCUGUGUGUUAUACAUGCAUGGCCUGGGACCCAUUUAAUAUGUAUCUUGUGCUAAACCAGUAGUUCCUGGUCAUGGUCUUAUUUGGGAAGAUAGCUAAUCUCACUAACAAGUGUAAAGUUGUGCGUGUUGGCACACACCUGACAUCCCUGCACUUGGGAGGCUGAAGCAGGAGGAUUGCUGGGAGUUUGAGGCCAGCCUGGGCUACAUAGUGAGACCCUGUCUCUAAUUCUGAUUUGAAAGAGAAAAGGCUGCAUUUCAGUCGUACUCUGGCAUCCCUGCUGUUUGAUCAUCUGAAAGCCACCUAAGCUUCGCAUGUGAGAGCUGGAAAGUCUGUGUCUAAAUACGAGCCCCUCAGGAAAGAUGCGAUCCCGAAGGUGCUAAGCUGUGCAGCCCCCAACCCCAGCCCUGGGAGUAGUCGCAGAGCCAAGGGACCAGAAGAGGAGGGGUUCAGCCCUGGCCUCACUGGCACCGAGGAAGCAUGGAGUGAGUGUGACACCCAGAGGACUGAGUCACCUGCUUGGGGACAGGGCAAACCGCACUGCUGUUUCCACACGACACUUCUUCCAAAAGAAUUUAGGCAAGUGAAAGCAUUCAGAGAAAAGCAGGAAGAUUUACUGCACUUUCCACUCCCAAAGCCCAGGACCUUCACACUGAGCUACAUUGCCAGCCCUUUUCAUUUACUUAGAGACAUCUCUCCAAGUUGCUGGCUUUGAUCCUCCUGUCUCAGCCUCCAGAGUGCUGGGAUUACAGAUGUGCACCCCGACACCCAACUUGCAGCACUUUUUGACUAUUUAUGGACUGGAAAACCAUUUGGAUGUCAAGCCCUCCCUGUCUGGGUGUAGCUUGACACCACUGCCACCCGGCUCCCUCUUUAUUGCUUCCUCAGUUUACUCGGCUCUCCAUGGGCUUGCUGCCUUGCUCCCAGAGUCUUGACAUGGUCACUUCUCUGUUUAACUCCUUGUGGACAUGACCACCUGCUCCGCAACCUAAGUCUGGGACAUGGCUCCGUGGUAGAGCCCUUUCCUAGUGAGCUUGAAGGCCCAGGUUUGGUCCCCAGUACCACAAAACAACAAAGACAGAAAUACAGUACUCCUCUGGUGGCAUGCAUAGUGGCACACACCUGCUGAGCAGGAGGAUCACUGAGUUCAAGGCCAUCUGGACUGCAUAGCGAGAACCUGUCUCCAAAAAUAAAAUAAAUACUAGAGAUAAUAAAGAGUUGAUCCACAUAAAUUUCUUAGAGUCAUGAAGGCUUAACUUUGUUUUUCAGUACUGGGGAUUGAACCCCAGGGCCUUUGCACUGAGCUACAUUACUGCUGUAAUUCUAGUUAGGGAUUAGAAAUGAUGCUGAGGAGGGCCGGGGAUUUAGCUCAGUGGUGCCACCACCUGCCUCACAAGCACAAGUUCCUGAAUUCAAUCCUCGGUACAAAAAAAAAAUAGAAAUGAUGCUGGGGGCUGAGGGUGUAGCUCAGUGGGAACACUUGCCCAGCAUGUGUGAGGCCCUGGUUUCCAUCCCCAGCACUGCAAAAAAAAAAUUACAGCUGGGAGUAGAUGUGGCUCUGUGGUUGAGCGUGUGCUCAUUGCAGCUGAGGCCCUGGGUUAAAUGUCUAGCAUACACAAAAAAUGCUGUCUGAAGUCAUCUCAUGUAGAAAAUACAAACUGCUAAGUACAAGUCAGCAGAGCUGAAAUUCCAGCACUCUGGGAGGCUGAGGCAGGAGUAUCACAAGUCAGCUCAACCUGGGCAACAGUUGAGAUCCUGUCUCAAAAAAAUAAAAGGGAUAUAGGUGAGUGUGAAGGGCCUGGUGAGUGCCUGCAAUUCUAACUACUUGGGAGGCUGAAUCAGGAGGAUCACAAGUUUGAGGCCACCCUGAGCAAAUUAGCAAGACUACCUCAAAAUAAAAACUAAAAAAGGGAUAGAAAUGUAGCUCAGGACUUCUGGGUUUAAUCCCCAGUACUGGAAAAAGAGAAAAGAAAAAACUGAUUGGGAUAUGGGCUUCAGAUUGCUUGUUUUUCUGCAUAAGUAGUGCAGUGGCACUUGAGCCAGGAGACUCAGGUUCAAGACCCACCUGAACUAUUUAGCUAGAUUGUUUCAAAGUGAAAAGGGCAGUGGAUGUAGCUCAGUGGUAGAACACUUGGAGGUAUUUCAACCUCAAUACCAAAAACAAGGUAAAUGCUUUCAGGUAUGGAUGUUAUAUACAUGAAACAAGAAUUCAAAAAGGCACAUUGGAGAUGGGCAUGAUGGUGCACACCUGUAAUCCUAGCAUUCAGGAGACUGAGGCAGGAAGAUCCCCAUAAAUUCGAGGCCAGGCUGAGCUAGAUAGCCAGACCCUGUCUCAAAAAACAAAAAAGCUCAGGCACAGCCUGGGCAAUAUGAUGACUUAGCAAGACCUUGUCUCAAAGUUAAAAAAUAAAAGGCUCAGUGCAAAGUGUGGCUCACAAAAAGCCCUGUAUUCAAUCCCCAAUACAAAAAAAAAAAAAAAAAUCAGGGAUAUAUUGUCAACUUUCCCAUUGCUGGGACAAAAUGCCCAAGGCCUGCAGCUUACGCGAGGAGAGGCUUGUUUUUGGUUUUUUUGGUACCCAGGAUCAAACUUGAGACCUUAUGCUUGCAAAGCAGGCAGCAGCAGAACCACUGAGCUAAAUCCCCGGCUAGGAGAGGCUUGUUUGGGCCCACAGCUUCAGUCCCAGGCUUGCCAGCUCCAAGGCAGAAAUUGCAUGGGAGAGGAGGGCUGCUGGCAACAUGGUAGCCAGAAAGGGGAGGAGCCAGGGACAAGAACGUACCCUUCCCUAUGACACCCCUGUGACCUCUGACCAGACCCUCCCAACAGCAUGUUCAGCCCCUUAUUCCAGUCAUUUUCCCAGUACAUGAGACUUGGGGGAUAUUUUAGUUUAACAUUCUGUCCCUGGCCCCCAAAGGUUCAUGUCAGUCUUAUUAGGGAAAAUACAUUUAGUCCUUCUCUUAAGAGUAGCCAGUCUAUGGGGCUGGGGAUUUAGCUCAGUGGUUUCACUGCCUACUGCGCAACUGCAAGUACCCAAGUUCUAUCCCUGGUACCAAAAAAACAAAAAGAGUAGUUAGUCUUAAUAGUUCCACGCACUGCUGAAAAAUUUAAUGUCUUCUGAGGUUCAAGGCACACAGCUGUGAGUGCCUAUAAAAGGCAGACAGUCAAAUACUUCCAACAUUCAGUGGCACAGACAUAUAUCCAGUCAAAAAGGGAAACAGGAAUGGAAAGAAAUCAAACCAAAGCAGAACUGAAAUCCAGGCCAGGUGUGGUGGAGCAUGCCUGUAAUCCCAGCACUCUGGAGGCUGAGGCAGGAGGAUCGCUAUGAGUUCGAGGCCAGCCGAGGCCAUAUGAUUCAAGGCCAGUCUGAAGUGCAUAGCAAGACCCUUCCUUAAAAAAAAAAGACUGAAGCCCAGCAGGGCAAACAUUAAAUCUUGUAGCUCUGUAUCCAGCC
ensembl:lncRNA